CAAGGAGUGAGAUUUGAUUUAGAACCAAUCCCAACAUGAAGAUCCUUUAUCUGCUGUUCGCAUUCCUUUUCCUUGCAUUCCUGUCUGAACCAGGUAAUGCCCGGAACCGGUGUCUUGGACUAGGAGGAUUCUGCCAUUUGAGUCGCUGUCCACGAAAGACUGAGAAUAUUGGGAGACAGGGUUGUAGACGGAGAUUAAUAUGCUGUAGACACUAAGUAAACACUCCUCUAAUAAAGAUGUCACAGAUGUAGAUCGGGAUACUCUUAUUUUUACUCCAAAGCAUUUCAAGGCAUUCACCUGAAGAGGAACAGGUGUUUCAAAGGCAGAAAGAAGAGCAGGAGAGAUUUUCAGGUUCAGAUAACAGACUUUACCUUAAACUUAUUAUGAUCAAACUAUUAUUUUAUCUCAUUUGUAUAGCCACAUUGAAAAAUGAUGUCAUCUCCAUCUAAAACCCUGGAUGUCUUCAAGAUAUGUCCAAUGACCUGAGAUUACUACCUGCUAUCGCUUUUUCUUUCUUUACAUUAAUCAAACUGCUAUCUAUCAAACUUGAAAACAUUUAUGCAUUGAAGUAAAAUUUGGCAAAGUCCUUGAAAUAAAGCUAAACGAGCAUUGCAAA